CAGGAGAUGAUGACCAUAAUUGGAAAAUUGCCCAUGUGGUACUCAAAGAGGAACAGGAAUUUCGCUAACUUUUCCAGGGCACAAAAGGCGACCCUCGGAACUCAACUGGGGGAAUUUACCUGGAUGACAUCACUCUUGACAGAAACCCCCUGCCCCACAGGGGUCUGGAGAGUCCAGAAUUUCUCCCAGGUCCUUGAGAACACCAGCGAAGUGGACAAGCUUCAGAGCCCUCGAUUCUACAAUUCAGAGGGAUGCGGUUUUGGGUUAACUUUAUACCCCCAUGGCAGAGAAAGCUCUGGCUAUUUGAGACUUGCUUUUUACAUGUGCAGUGGGGAGAAUGAUGCUAUCCUGGAGUGGCCGGUAGAAAACAGACAGGUGAUAAUUACCAUCUUCGACCAGGACCUGAUGUCAGGAACAGGAUGUCCUCAAGUUUGGUGUUCACUACCUCCAAGUUGCACAUAUCAAAUGACACUGUCAUCUGGGACAGGCCGUCCAGGGUGGGAACCUAUCAUGCUGACUGUAAUUGUUUUAGAAGCAUUGACUUUGGCUGGAGUGGUUUCAUCUCCCACCAAAUGCUGAAAAGGAGGAGUUUCCUGAAAAAUGAUGACCUCAUCAUGUUUGUGGACUUUUGAAGAUAUCACCCACCUCAGCCAGACUGAAGUUCCCACUAAAGGCAAAAGACUGAGCCCCCAAGGCCUCAUUCUCCAAGGCCAGAAGCAGCAGGUCUCCAAAGAAGGUUCAGGAAAGGCCAUGUUAGAGGAAGCCGUACCUGUCAGCCUCAGCCAGGGGCAGCCCGGCUGACAGAAGCCGUCAGUGAAGAACACAGGCCCCCUGGAGGACCAUAACUGGCCACAGUACUUCAGAGGCCCAUGUGACCCAAACCCUUGCCAAAAUGAUGGCAUCUGUGUGAACCUGAAGUGGGUGGCGAGGUGCUCAGAUGCAUCUCUGGACAUGCUUUCUUCUAAAUGGGAGCGCUGUCAGGCCAUGCAGGUGCACGGCAGCGUCCUGGGCAUGGUGAUCGGAGGCACGGCUGGUGUGAUCUUCUUGAGCUUCUCCAUCAUCGCCAUCCUUUCCCAAAGGCCAAGGA
rnacentral:lncRNA from 1 species